rnacentral:tRNA from 1 species
GCGCCGCUAGCUCAGCUGGUUAGAGCAAACGCCUCUUAAGCGUAAGGUCCUGGGUUCGAAUCCCAGGCGGCGCA